rfam:Octopus bimaculoides Scaffold353657_contig_1, whole genome shotgun sequence.
AUGUACCUGAAGAGACCCAAACUGAUGGGUCGAAACAUAUGUCGUACCU